rnacentral:tRNA from 1 species
GGGACCGUAGUUCAACUGGGCCUAGAGCACCUCCCUGUCACGGUGGAAGUUGCGGGUUCGAAUCCCGUCGGUCCCG